rnacentral:lncRNA from 1 species
GCGCACAGAAAGUUUAACCCAGGGGCUGGGGGCAGUUGCCUAGGUACGAUGCAUGAUAAUUUUCUUCAUUUGCGCGCCUUGAUGAGCGAAGAGGGUGGAUGGAGACACAGACAAGUUGCUAGUGAGAAAGCGAAACUUUUUCCAUUUUGCUGAUGGCAUGUGUACGUGUAAAAGUUUUUGCCCACAGAUGGUAGGGGGGUGGCAGCAACAGCAACAGCGACAACGACAGCGAACGACUCUUCAAAGGUGCAAAUAAAGUAAAUUAUUAGAUUCUUCUUCGGGCGCUGCUGCUUGUGGAUUUCCGCUUCAAUUACACAGCCACAGCCACUGCUCGCAUAAAUUUCACUUGACAAACUUUCUCCUGCGGAUAGUGCACACACGCACACUCCCACACACACACAUUGGCAAAUGAAGGACUUCCGCAGGGAUGUGACAUGUAAUUGCUACUACCUGAAACCACACAGGGCCAACUUUAAUGAGUGUCGUCGUGAUGCUCACACUUCUAAUGGAAGUUGCUGCCAUUUCGGUUUCAUUUAGGCAGAAAAGAGCCCACAGAUCGCUGCUGCCAGAAGAUCAAAGCUGCCAGCAGACUUGCUCUCUAUCCAGCCUCCAUUUGGCCUGCCCGAAUAACAGCU